rnacentral:rRNA from 1 species
GAUGAACGCUAGCGGGAGGCCUAACACAUGCAAGCCGAGCGGUAUUGUUUCUUCGGAAAUGAGAGAGCGGCGUACGGGUGCGGAACACGUGUGCAACCUGCCUUUAUCUGGGGGAUAGCCUUUCGAAAGGAAGAUUAAUACUCCAUAAUAUAAUGAACGGCAUCGUUUAAUAUUGAAAGCUCCGGCGGAUAGAGAUGGGCACGCGCGAGAUUAGCUAGUUGGUGAGGUAACGGCUCACCAAGGCGAUGAUCUUUAGGGGGCCUGAGAGGGUGAUCCCCCACACUGGUACUGAGACACGGACCAGACUCCUACGGGAGGCAGCAGUGAGGAAUACUGGUCAAUGGGUGCAAGCCUGAACCAGCCAUCCCGCGUGAAGGACGACUGCCCUAUGGGUUGUAAACUUCUUUUGUAUAGGGAUAAACCUACUCUCGUGAGGGUAGCUGAAGGUACUAUACGAAUAAGCACCGGCUAACUCCGUGCCAGCCGCCGCCGUAAAAC